rnacentral:lncRNA from 1 species
AUGUGUACCGUGCCUUUGGAGAAGCCCGCGCUCUGAAACGGACCAAUAUGCUGGCUGGCAGAGACCACGCUCCCACCGAUGACCUCGGGGAGCUGAACUACGCCUACAAUGACCAGCAGCGGAACAGCAGGAGACACGAGGAGGCGAGAAGAGGACACGAUGAGCCCGGCGGGGCUCAGGAGGACCUCUGACAUCAGGAGGCAGCAGCGGUGGCUGAAGAAAAGCAGAAGGCAGUGCACAGAUGUGACAGAAGGGGCGUCACAGUGGGGACGUCCAGAGAGCACAGCGGAUGGAUCCGAGGUCACGCCCGUCGAGGAGGAGAGGAGGGGCCAGGAGGAGCACGGCAGAGGUCAGGAGGAGGUGCUGCCAUGGGGAGGUGAAAGCAUAGAGCAGAUGAAGCCAGGCUACUUGUGUGUGUUGUAGAGUCUGGGUCAGAGUGUGUGUUCAGUGUGGAGGUUGUGUGUGUGUGUGUGUGUGUGUGUGUGUGCAUGUGUCACUUGAGUGUGUGCUGGUUAGGAAGUGUGUUUGUUAGAGCUGUGUAGGCAGUAGCUGUAAUGUGUGUGUGUGUGUGAUUGUGUAGGCAACAUGUUAGUAGUCAGCACCACCACAGGUUUGUUGUUGUUGUUGUUGAAACAUGUGUACAGUGUAGUGCCUUUACAUGUGGUGUCUGUGUGUAUUAGAAAAUGUAUGUGUGUAGGUUGUUAUGCAUACAUAUGUAUAUGUGUAUACAUGCUCAUUGACUUCAUCAGCCCCUGCUGCUCAUCUUUCCUAUUUAUGGACUGAUGAUAUAUAGAUAUCAUUACAAUCUAAUCACUGUUUCAUCUGCUGCAUGUUUGCUCUGUACUGUAUCAUGUUUGCUCCUCUCUCUCUCUCUCUGUCUCUCUCCCUCCCUCCCUCCCUCCUUCAUCCUCCAUCCUCUCUCUGUCUCCUCUCUCUCCUUCAUCCUCUCUGACUAGCAGCAGGACUGCUUCCCCCUUUAAGUUAA